GUGCUCGCUUCGGCAGCACAUAUACUAAAAUUGGAAUGAUGCAGAGAAGAUUAGCAUGGCCCCUGGGGGAAAAAAAAAGGAUGAGAUAUACACCACGGGGCA
rnacentral:snRNA from 1 species